GUGCCCUGCGUUUAUCAGUAAGCUUAUUUUCGUUGGGUGAAAAAGAAAUACUCAAUAAACAAAGUAAAAAACAUUUUCAUGAUAUCUUUCCCCCAAAGGUUUCUAUAGAUAUCGUGAAUUCUUAAGGCCACAAAAACCAUGAUAUUAAAAAUUUAAUAUCGUGACAGCCCUAGUCUGGUUGUCGCAAACUAACUAUAUUCAUGUUAAAACAAAGUAAUACAGUUUGCGUGCACUUUAUAACAAGGCAUGGUAAGACAGGACUUUUUUGCACACAGUAUUAAACAUUCAUCUUCAUUCAACUUCCGCGUCACAACUCCGAUAUGAAUUAAAACAAAAAAUAAAAUAAACAAUUAUACUAACAGAAAGCAUAUACUUUGUGGUCAAAAUAGGAUUCAUGGCUAGAAAUAUAGGACCUCUGUGCACAUGCUAAUUGUUAAUUCUUUGUUUUGUUGAUCAGGUAAAAUUUACAGUGAAGAUGCCAGGCAUGCCAUAUAUCAGAGUGGUGAGUAGGCAGUGCUCUCUAUGUAAUCUUAUAUUCACGUUAAUCACAGACUACAAAUUACGUUUCAUUUGGUUGUUUUGACUUGUUUACUGAGUUCUUAUUUGGGAAACCACCUCCACUGAAGACUCAUGUUUUCUUUCUUUGCAAGCCUGGUCAUCUUGACCGUCUCCCCAUAGAGAACGCACUGACACUCAUGUCCAAUAAGGGCCCCAUUGUUCCUCAGAUCAUUAAACUGCUGGAUUUGUUUUAUUUCGAGGAGCUCUAUGAUGGAAGCCUUGAAGAGAGGACGGCACAAAAUGUAAGGUGGCAGAACACUGAUGCUGCUAACAUUUGCGGGACAUUAAACUGGAGAACCUGCUGGUAAACCAGGACACCAUGGAGGUCAAUUUGACUGACACUGAGUGCAGCCUUUAAAGUUUUCCAUGUUACAAAAGUGUACGGUCCUUUAGAGUUCAGCAUGAAGGGCAUGUACUAUGCAAGGCCGAUGACAUUGUGGAGACUACGUUUCCUCCUGUGUGAAAUGGUUUGCGAGGAACAUCCUACAGCUUAUGACUGUCACGUGAUCAGUGUGGACCUCUGGACCAGACCUGGACUGUCACAAGUCUUUUUGAACAGAAUACUCCCAGAUGAUUUGUGGUUGUCUACAGCCUAAGCCACAGAAGAGAUCCAUGCUGGAAUGUUAAUACAGAAGCAAAAUAUAAGACUUGCAACAUAGAGGAUAAGCUAAUUGACUUAAUACUGACAUCAAGUGUUGUUUUACAUUUAAAUGAGCCUCAUCAUUUUAUGUCAGUACAGCAGCUCAAGUUCACAUUUGAAAUCAACACAACUGUCCCUGAAGCCUUGAAGCCUGAUCAAAUGUGUAACAAGCUCUACCAGGGCAUCUACCGCUCUGUGAGGAAGACACGCAGUGGUCGGGAGCAUCUCUAACGCCUUCAGCUGGGACUGAAGAUCAAGCAGCGCCUGUGGCUGAUGUUCAUCAAAAAAAAAGCGCUAUACAAAUAAAUAAUAAUAAACUUGAAUCUGCCCAUCACUGGUGGAGACAGAGCAGCCUGACGGACGCGUCCUGAUCACGGAGAGCUUCUCCACAACCUGCAGAAGGUUCGCUCCUCAAAUACAUGUGGACAUCUGUUCCUGAGGAAUCCAGAAGAAAGAAGCCCAGAAACGGAGUCACCACGGUCACAUGGAGCAUCACACAGUGGGACCUACAUUUGAAAAUAAUGUAUAAAUUGUACAUAGUUAUAGAGUAAGUUUAUAGUUUGUUAAAACAUUAUGAAGGUGUCAGUUUUGAGCAGCCCGUGAUGAGGAGAUAAAUCAUACGCUAAAAGAGCUGAGAGUGUUAAAUAUUAGCCUUCCACUGAUUAUUCAGUAUAUGUUGAAUUUCACAAUUGAUGGUAUAUACUGAAUUCUUCUCCCUAAAGAGAUUUGUAUUUAUUUUUUUCUGGUCGAAUCACACAGAGCGCGUUGCUUCGGUUUAUUCACAAACACAAACUCGCUGCAUUGUUAAAAUGCUUAACUUUGGUCCAGUUCACCUGUUUGUUUUCUCUUCAUUGUCUUUCCAGAUGCAAGUUGUAAUAUUAAAUGCAUAGUUCACCCAAAACUUAAAA